ACAAAAACAAAGUGAAGAGGUGGACACGUGUCGCGUUUAUCUCCUUCGUUUCUCUCUCUCUUUGCCGACUGCGAAAACACGAAAUCAAAUUGAUUUUUUGCAAAUCGAUUUCUCCUCCGAUUAUUGUUACAUCCGGUGAAUCGGAGAGAGUUAUCACAAGCAUCUCAACGGACGGCGGUUCUCCACGGCGCCUGUGGGUCAUGCGAUCAUGGUGGCUGCUACUGAUUGUCCUAACAAAUUCAAAUCCAGAGGAGACAAAAUCGCCGAGCUUUUAUUCUCCUGCAGAGUGAGUCGUUGCAUCGGAUGCGACCAUCUUGAAUUGUCUAUUCACGGAGACGACGAGGCUAAUCGCGGCCGUGGAACCACCGGUGACGGCGGUGGUGGUACGGCGGUUGAUGAAGAUUAUGAGGUUGGUGGUAGUAAAGAGAGCAAAGCUAAUAGUAGCAGAGGAGAUAAUAAUCAUAUAUCGAUGAGACGAAUUUGAAUAGUAAUCAGAUUGUUAGUAAUUUAUACAUUUGAUGAAGCUCACGCUUUGAGUGAUGAGAUUGAAGAGUUAUCUGUGGUUUCUAAGGAUGUUGCUAGUAUCAAAGAGAUCUUGCUCAACAAAGAAGAUGAUCCAAACUCGGUGUUACUCGAUUCUUUAAGACAUCUUAAGUUGAUGUCUUUGAAUGUGGAUAUUCUUAAGGUUGGUUUCUUGGUGGAUAGUGUUUGAUUACUUGGACUUUGACGGAAAAAAAUGUUUGUGAUCUUGCCAUUGCGGAGCACAACUUCAGACAUAAUAUUGAUAAGCAAGCUUCUGUUUUAAGAAGAGAGCUAGAGAAGUUCGAUGAAGCAGUUUCCGAAGGGAUGUUGUGCUUUGAUCCAACUCAUGCAAUGUUUGAGUCCAUUCAUUUGCUUAUGUUAAACGUAUGAAAUUUUAUUAAGUAAUGUCUUUGACUUUCUAGAAUGUGUUCAAUGUGUUUUUGCUGUAGAAAACACGAAAUUUGUGUCUUGUAUAGGCCAAGUAGAAGACACCAUAUUUCUGUCUUGAUUAUGUUUUUGAAUUACAUACAUUCUUCAUAGUAAUUGGAUUUGGUGAAUUACAUAAACUGUGAUUAUGAAUCUUUGUUUUGCAUUUGAGAAGUUGUUGA